AUUAGUGGCGAACGGGUGAGUAACACGUGGGCAAUCUGCCCUUCACUCUGGGACAAGCCCUGGAAACGGGGUCUAAUACCGGAUAACACUCUGUCCUGCAUGGGACGGGGUUGAAAGCUCCGGCGGUGAAGGAUGAGCCCGCGGCCUAUCAGCUUGUUGGUGGGGUAAUGGCCUACCAAGGCGACGACGGGUAGCCGGCCUGAGAGGGCGACCGGCCACACUGGGACUGAGACACGGCCCAGACUCCUACGGGAGGCAGCAGUGGGGAAUAUUGCACAAUGGGCGAAAGCCUGAUGCAGCGACGCCGCGUGAGGGAUGACGGCCUUCGGGUUGUAAACCUCUUUCAGCAGGGAAGAAGCGCAAGUGACGGUACCUGCAGAAGAAGCGCCGGCUAACUACGUGCCAGCAGCCGCGGUAAUACGUAGGGCGCAAGCGUUGUCCGGAAUUAUUGGGCGUAAAGAGCUCGUAGGCGGCUUGUCACGUCGGAUGUGAAAGCCCGGGGCUUAACCCCGGGUCUGCAUUCGAUACGGGCUAGCUAGAGUGUGGUAGGGGAGAUCGGAAUUCCUGGUGUAGCGGUGAAAUGCGCAGAUAUCAGGAGGAACACCGGUGGCGAAGGCGGAUCUCUGGGCCAUUACUGACGCUGAGGAGCGAAAGCGUGGGGAGCGAACAGGAUUAGAUACCCUGGUAGUCCACGCCGUAAACGUUGGGAACUAGGUGUUGGCGACAUUCCACGUCGUCGGUGCCGCAGCUAACGCAUUAAGUUCCCCGCCUGGGGAGUACGGCCGCAAGGCUAAAACUCAAAG
rnacentral:rRNA from 1 species